AUUGAACGCUGGCGGCAGGCCUAACACAUGCAAGUCGAACGAGUGGCGGACGGGUGAGUAAUGUCUGGGAAACUGCCUGAUGGAGGGGGAUAACUACUGGAAACGGUAGCUAAUACCGCAUACCAUCAGAUGUGCCCAGAUGGGAUGAGCUAGGAGGUGGGGUAACGGCUCACUUAGGCGACGAUCCAGAGCUGGUCUGAGAGGAUGACCAGCCACACUGGAACUGAGACGCGGUCCAGACCCCUACGGGAGGCAGCAGUGGGGAAUAUUGCACAAUGGGCGCAAGCCUGAUGCAGCCAUGCCGCGUGUGUGAAGAAGGCCUUCGGUUUGUAAAGCACUUUCAGCGGGGAGGCGUUACCCGCAGAAGAAGCACCGGCUAACUCCGUGCCAGCAGCCGCGGUAAUAC
rnacentral:rRNA from 1 species